rnacentral:lncRNA from 1 species
UGGUUGCAAUGUGCAGGUGCUUGGAGUGUAGUGGCACUCCCACACACAAGACUUGUGCGCAAAUGCACACCAGCAUGCAUCACAGUGCCAUGAACAUGCCCGCACGACUGUGACGACAACUACUACAACUAUUAUGAUGAUUACAACUAUUAAGACAAUGACUACGAGUAUGACAACCUAUCUAUGUAGUGGAUUGGUUAUUCAAAGUACAUCUCCAACAACAUCAAAAAAAUUAAAAACUAAACAUCUUCAUACUUGGUUCCUAAGGGUAAUUAAACCUACUGAACCAUAUUAGUCCAUUAUUCUGGUUGUUCUUAUCUGUGAAUGGCACCAACAUCUUUGCCUGUUCCUCGUUAGCAAACCCUACAUGAAACUAUUAUUGUACUUACAAGUUCAUCUUGUCAAUGGACCACUCUCGUGACUGCUGCAUCUCCUGCAUCAGAGAAUUCUCCUUGAUUUGAGCAGACGUCUCUUAAGGACCCUUCAUGACUCCUCUGUUAGGUGGUCCUUUCAGGCUAAAGUGACUUCCUAAGUGUUUUAGUCCUUUUCUAGAUUUCUUUAAGGUGUUGUUCGAUGCACCAACCCAAAUUUUUGAGAUCAAUGACGUUGAGUUGGUAGAGGGGCUUCCCAAUAUGACUUUGGAGCAUGACCUACAUGAUCUCCUUCUCGCA